CGCGGGAUAGAGCAAUUGGCAGCUCGCCAGGCCCAUAACCUGGAGGUUCUCGGUUCAAGUCCGAGUCCCGCAA
rnacentral:tRNA from 1 species